rnacentral:rRNA from 2 species
CCUGGCUCAGGACGAACGCUGGCGGCGUGCUUAACACAUGCAAGUCGAACGAUGAAGCCUUUCGGGGUGGAUUAGUGGCGAACGGGUGAGUAACACGUGGGCAAUCUGCCCUUCACUCUGGGACAAGCCCUGGAAACGGGGUCUAAUACCGGAUAAUACUUCUGCCUGCAUGGGCGGGGGUUGAAAGCUCCGGCGGUGAAGGAUGAGCCCGCGGCCUAUCAGCUUGUUGGUGGGGUGAUGGCCUACCAAGGCGACGACGGGUAGCCGGCCUGAGAGGGCGACCGGCCACACUGGGACUGAGACACGGCCCAGACUCCUACGGGAGGCAGCAGUGGGGAAUAUUGCACAAUGGGCGAAAGCCUGAUGCAGCGACGCCGCGUGAGGGAUGACGGCCUUCGGGUUGUAAACCUCUUUCAGCAGGGAAGAAGCGAGAGUGACGGUACCUGCAGAAGAAGCGCCGGCUAACUACGUGCCAGCAGCCGCGGUAAUACGUAGGGCGCAAGCGUUGUCCGGAAUUAUUGGGCGUAAAGAGCUCGUAGGCGGCUUGUCGCGUCGGAUGUGAAAGCCCGGGGCUUAACCCCGGGUCUGCAUUCGAUACGGGCAGGCUAGAGUGUGGUAGGGGAGAUCGGAAUUCCUGGUGUAGCGGUG